rnacentral:lncRNA from 10 species
UCCUUUCUAAAUACCUGUGGCUGAGUUUUAGUCAAUGCAGUGAAUGUGCUGUGUAUCACUUACAGGCUUGGCUCAUAAAACCGUCUCUCCCCAUCUCCUCGUCUCUGUGUCUCCAAGGUCGUAGAGAAGGGCAGGUCCACAGAUAGAAGUAGUCCAGAUCUCUGAAUAACCAUGUGAAAGGUUUCUUAUCGACCAGAAAUAUUCUCAAUAGGAUUUUGAUGGAAUGAGGAAUCAACUUUUACCUAGAAGGAAAUAUGGCUGAUUAACCAUUAGGAUGUCAAUGGUUGUGAUUUUUGGGUAAUUUCCACUUUCUUUCUUAUGUUCUCUCGUUUUAGUUUUCCUCUUUUCUCUUAUCAGUGGCAUAUUAGACACUUAUUCAUUUACUUAUUUAUUUUCUCUCUCCCCUGAGCAGCACGUGACCUCUAUAAGAGCAGACUUGGUUUUGUUUUCUGCUGUGUCCCCAGAACCUGGAGCACAGUAAGUGCUCAAUAAAUAUUUGCUGGAUUUUGUGAAUGUGUGUGUCCCCUUUA